UACCCUGUAAAUCCGGGCUUUUGUAGAGGUGUCAGAAGCUCGUUUUUACAGGUACCU
rnacentral:pre_miRNA from 1 species